ACGGGAUCUAGUGUGAUGGCAGGAUUAAGGCUCAGAUAAAUCUGUAGUGGUUGUAAUGAGAUUUCAAAAUAAAAAAUAAAAUAGGAUUUCCAGAUGAAUAGUCUAGAGCCCCUUGGUACAAUGCACAAACUAUGUCAAAAUCAAUGCCUAAGAUGUCGAGGUCAUUUUAAAAGCCUUCAGAGCCUGUGUGUAUGAGACAUUUUCCCGGUGGCCCCGGGUGCGGGAGAGCCUCCCCUUAACCCCAGUGUUUCCAGCACCGCGCCACGGCGGGGCCCAGGACCGGCCCGGGACAGGAGCGGCGGGGCCAGGCGCGGGGGGCCGCGGCCACCACGAGCCCCGUGACCUUGCCGCGGCCACCGAGGGCCACCCGCGGUCGCCACCAACUUCUCAGCGGCGGAGGCAGCAGCAGCGCAAGUUGGCAGCCGCCGGCUGCUCGCCUCGGGCAGCAGCGGGAGGGCGGCCCGCGCUCUUCUGUUCCCUAAAAAAAAAAAAAAAAAAAAAGGAAAAAAGAAAAGGGAGGAGGAAGGCGGAGGAACGACAGAACGACAGACAGACGGCGGCCGGCUCCAGGAGGACAGAGCUCUGCUUGGUGAUUUGAAGGAGUCAUUGCAGAGGUGAUUAUUUCUUCAUCUGAUGAAGUUGCUGGUGAGUAGAUGGAGGUACUUCCUGGCAACCCAACUUCCUUGCAACAGGUAGGAUCCCUAGGCAUGCCAUUCUUCCAGGUAUUAUCAGUUGUUUAGUUCCAGGUGGCUUUCCUUUCAUGUAUGAGCUUUGUAAAUUGAAGUGGUUUUCUGAAGCAUCAAGUCUUUGUAGAUGCUUCAGCAUCUACUUUCAUGGUUUGGAUUCUUUCUACCUUGCAGGACUGGUACCUCAAGUGAAAGUAUUGUGGCACCCAUCUAAUGUGUAUACAUGCUCUUUGCUGAAGAAGGAAGAAGAAUCCAGUCCCAGAUGUUGCAAAUAAUUGUGGUCUGUGGAACAAGAAAUGAGGCAAGAUGGGGUCAGGGACAGUACUGGGCCUUCAUAGUGACAGUCCACAAAAAGCUUCAUUUUGCUUAUGGCUAACAGUGAGCUUUAUACCCAUCUUUAUUCACUUUAGAGAGAAGCUGUUUCUUUUGUUUGGUUGGAUUUUUUCAUCAGCUGUAGUAUGAGCCUGAACAGUUCCAUAUCCAGUCAAAUGUAGAGAGAUUUCUUUUCAUCUUUAGUCACCUUACCUUAAUAGCCAUUGGAAUGGCAUUUGGAGGAAAAAGAAUUUGGAUGACAUAUGACCUCAAACACUGGUGUAAGAGCUGUAUGUCAACAACAGUAUCCAUACCUAAUAAUACAAAAUAAAUGCUAAUUACCUGAAAUGGCCUUUAUAUGC
rnacentral:lncRNA from 1 species